rnacentral:rRNA from 1 species
UACGUAGGGGGCAAGCGUUGUCCGGAAUCAUUGGGCGUAAAGCGCGUGUAGGCGGCCAGAAAAGUCCGCUGUGAAAACUCGAGGCUCAACCUCGAGAUGUCGGCGGAAACCACUUGGCUAGAGUCCGGAAGAGGAGAGUGGAAUUCCUGGUGUAGCGGUGAAAUGCGCAGAUAUCAGGAAGAACACCUAUGGCGAAGGCAGCUCUCUGGGACGGUACUGACGCUGAGACGCGAAAGCGUGGGGAGCGAACAGG